CUGCAGUCGGUUAAGCCAAUCAGUCAUUCCCUCACAGGGUGCUGGUGUGCAAUGGACAGUCACAGCAGCCUCCUCAGGAGUGUGUACCACCUAUUACCUGUACGAAUUGCUCUAAGGGACCUUGGAGACACUU